rnacentral:rRNA from 1 species
AUGCAGUCGAACGCGUCUUGGUUAUUGAUGUUGGAUGCUUGCAUUUAACUGAUUUAACAUUGAGACGAGUGGCGAACUGGUGAGUAACACGUGGGUAACCUGCCCUUGAAGUAGGGGAUAACACUUGGAAACAGGUGCUAAUACCGUAUAACAACCAAAACCACCUGGUUUUGGUUUAAAAGAUGGCUUCGGCUAUCACUUUAGGAUGGACCCGCGGCGUAUUAGCUUGUUGGUAAGGUAACGGCCUACCAAGGCAAUGAUACGUAGCCGACCUGAGAGGGUAAUCGGCCACAUUGGGACUGAGACACGGCCCAAACUCCUACGGGAGGCAGCAGUAGGGAAUCUUCCACAAUGGACGAAAGUCUGAUGGAGCAACGCCGCGUGAGUGAUGAAGGGUUUCGGCUCGUAAAACUCUGUUGUUGGAGAAGAACAGGUGUGAGAGUAACUGUUCACAUCUUGACGGUAUCCAACCAGAAAGCCACGGCUAACUACGUGCCAGCAGCCGCGGUAAUACGUAGGUGGCAAGCGUUGUCCGGAUUUAUUGGGCGUAAAGCGAGCGCAGGCGGUUUCUUAGGUCUGAUGUGAAAGCCUUCGGCUUAACCGGAGAAGUGCAUCGGAAACCAGGAGACUUGAGUGCAGAAGAGGACAGUGGAACUCCAUGUGUAGCGGUGAAAUGCGUAGAUAUAUGGAAGAACACCAGUGGCGAAGGCGGCUGUCUGGUCUGUAACUGACGCUGAGGCUCGAAAGCAUGGGUAGCGAACAGGAUUAGAUACCCUGGUAGUCCAUGCCGUAAACGAUGAGUGCUAAGUGUUGGAGGGU